AGCCGAUUAUUAAGCUCUAUCCAACUACAACUCAGAUACCUUUUCACCUCUAAACUCCUUAAAUUAUUUCUCAAAUUCAACUUUUUCCCCAACUUCCCCAAAACUGCAUAAAUAUUAGACAAAAUUAAUGACAUAAACACAUGUUCGCUUGGGAUGCAAAUGGAACAUGUGCUCGGCCACCCUUUCACCCAUUGCCAUGUCCAUCCAGAGCCAAGCAGUUCUGUGCAAAGCCACCCAAAAAGUGCCAUCUGCUUCAAACUGGCAUUUCUUUAAUAAACUCCUCAGCUUCCAGUUGGCGCCCUGACCUACCAAGAAAGAUCCAGAAAGCAUGCAUAAUGAUUUAAAGUUGGAGUUGGU
rnacentral:misc_RNA from 1 species